AAAACUUGUAAAACCACUUGCUAAAAACACACAACACAGAAAAAGAAGACACACAAAGCAACAAACAAGGCAACUACGAAAAAGAUCCCUCUGCCAUACAAAGUUGGCUACACUGUUCAAGAAUUAAAAAAAAAUAAAAACAAUUUAUAUUCGGACCUAGCGUUGGAGAGGAAACCCAUUCGCUGGGUCGAUGAAGGUAACCUUUUCUGCCUGGAGGGGGAGAGAAAAA
rnacentral:misc_RNA from 1 species